CUCAAAGCAGCGUCCUGAACCCCGACUGGAGUGUCUGGCCAACCUCCCGACGGAGUUCUGAGCAGGACCCUGAUUCUGCGACACCAAGAUUUUCCAGGUUAGGAGACACUUCUACAACUCUAACAGCUCUAUCGCUCUCAGAAGAGGAGACAGCAUGCACGUGAUGAUCAGUUACUUCCAUCCUUUGGGAAGGGUGCAGAUCUGAGCCAUUGCACCUUUGCAAAGGCACCUUCCACCCAGUCUGCAGCUCCAGAGUAAACACGUAGGUUCAGUUACAUUUGAAGUAAUACAAAACCUGGAGUUUCAUGAGGAAUAAUCAUCAAUACUAAUUAAGAUAAAAGCAGUUUUCUCCCACAGUUUCCGGAUCAGCAACAAGGGUGCUGCAUAUUGAGAAAUGAGAGGCUCCUGUGACCCUGAAAGGCUCAGCACUUCACUGGAUUCACAAAGACACUGAAAGGUUUGCCAAGUAGUCAUCUGGAACAGAUGUGCCACAGCUGUGGUUCAAGCACACAACUUUUCAUGGACCACCUGCUUCCUUACCCAGAAGUUCCACAAACUAACUGAUGUCUCAGUCAUUCUGUAUCAUACAUGGUUCCAAGAAUUGCUGAAUUCAGUGUUGAUGGGCAAGAUCACAUGUUCUGUAUUUACUGUUCGCUUAAGUACACUUGAACCUGAAACUUGAGCAACCAGCAAAACUGAAGGUAGAAGCUUCUUACAAUGCUGUAUUAUACAGUGAUAGUAAUUCCUGUCCUAGUCUACUUGGAAAGCUAACCCAGCAUAAAAAUUUCACGAAGCGAAGAAUUUCAGCUUAUUUCUUAAAGGAUGACUUUCUUUUCCCCUAAAGCAGUGCUAAUAAAAUUCCUAAAACCUAAAACUCAAGGAAGGCAGAGGUAAAUUACAAAAGUUAUGAAGUAAUUUCUGAGAAGUACCAAGGAGAGAAGUUACUGAAGCUAC